AUCCAGCUGACGAGUCGCAAACGGGACGAAACGUGCGUCAAAACUGCAU
rnacentral:hammerhead_ribozyme from 1 species